rnacentral:rRNA from 1 species
UCCGAAGGCGAUAGGGGGACUCCAAGUGCGAGGGCAUAUAGUCCUCGCUUUUCUCGACCGUAAGGAGGUCGAAGAAUAAGUGCUGGGCAAGACCGGUGCCAGCCGCCGCGGUAAUACCGGCAGCACGAGUGAUGACCGCUCUUAUUGGGCCUAAAGCGUCCGUAGCUGGCCGGGCAAGUCCAUCGGGAAAUCCGCACGCUUAACGUGCGGGCGUCCGGUGGAAACUGUUCGGCUUGGGACCGGAAGAUCCAGAGGGUACGUCCGGGGUAGGAGUGAAAUCCCGUAAUCCUGGACGGACCACCGGUGGCGAAAGCGCUCUGGAAAGACGGAUCCGACGGUGAGGGACGAAAGCUAGGGUCACGAACCGGAUUAGAUACCCGGGUAGUCCUAGCUGUAAACGAUGUCUGCUAGGUGUGGCACAGGCUACGAGCCUGUGCUGUGCCGUAGGGAAGCCGUGAAGCAAACCGCCUGGGAAGUACGUCUGCAAGGAUGAAACUUAAAGGAAUUGGCGGGGGAAGCACAA